AAAGCCAGUGAUGCUGAAAUAUCUGGGAAAUGGGAAGAUUAUUUCUAGAGGUUGGAAGCAAAUGUUCAAGCUGGGAGUAUGGCAGGCACUGACCUUUGUGUGCCCCCACUCCCAACUCUAUUCAUCUAUUCCUAGGAUCUGUAUAGAAAGAAGUACAUGGCUAUGUGUUUUCAACUCAGCUCAUCAUUUGAGGAGAAUAGCUGUUACAUGUAGCACGCUGGAGAAAAGAAGCAGUUUGAUGCUGCUUCACACAGAACCCAGCAAAAUCCGUCAGAGACCGCUCCACAUCCAGAGACAAUUUACCUGGUUGGCCCUCAGGGCAGAAAUGUGGAUGACAAAGAGCCAAGGAUGUCAGAUUUUGAGCCUACUGCUGGCUGAGUUUCUUAGCUUCUAGCUGACAAACCCAAAGUCUAUUACUGAAGUGGAAACAAUUAAAAGCUCUGGUUUUUUCAUUGUAAUGUAAUUACAGCAACAUCUCUCAUACAAAUUAUGGCUCAUUUACUCUUCAAGGCAAUUAGCAUCUGGACUGCCACCAAGGAAACCCUUUUUAGGUUGCAAAGUGGUAUCGCUUGGUGCUCUCAGGAAGCUGGAGACUCCAGUUCCUGAAAGAAGAGGACUUGUUCAACGCAGGAGUGGGGAGAGAGUUCCCUUCUUCAUAGAUGUGGCCUCUCAUUGAAAAUACUUGUGCUCUGACACCUCCUGGAACGUCACUGGCAGCCAAUGGAGGAUUUCCUUUGGUGGAUAUAUUAGUGUCUGAAAGAAAGCAGUCAAUCAUAAUUUCACAGCAGCUCUGGGAGAAUCAGGAUUUUCUCUCUUCUAGUGAGUACUGGCUCAAAAACUCUCGAGUUGCAUCUGGUAUCAGUCACCACUCUUGCCAG
rnacentral:lncRNA from 1 species